GACGAACGCUGGCGGCGUGCCUAAUACAUGCAAGUCGAACGAACUCUGGUAUUGAUUGGUGCUUGCAUCAUGAUUUACAUUUGAGUGAGUGGCGAACUGGUGAGUAACACGUGGGAAACCUGCCCAGAAGCGGGGGAUAACACCUGGAAACAGAUGCUAAUACCGCAUAACAACUUGGACCGCAUGGUCCGAGCUUGAAAGAUGGCUUCGGCUAUCACUUUUGGAUGGUCCCGCGGCGUAUUAGCUAGAUGGUGGGGUAACGGCUCACCAUGGCAAUGAUACGUAGCCGACCUGAGAGGGUAAUCGGCCACAUUGGGACUGAGACACGGCCCAAACUCCUACGGGAGGCAGCAGUAGGGAAUCUUCCACAAUGGACGAAAGUCUGAUGGAGCAACGCCGCGUGAGUGAAGAAGGGUUUCGGCUCGUAAAACUCUGUUGUUAAAGAAGAACAUAUCUGAGAGUAACUGUUCAGGUAUUGACGGUAUUUAACCAGAAAGCCACGGCUAACUACGUGCCAGCAGCCGCGGUAAUACGUAGGUGGCAAGCGUUGUCCGGAUUUAUUGGGCGUAAAGCGAGCGCAGGCGGUUUUUUAAGUCUGAUGUGAAAGCCUUCGGCUCAACCGAAGAAGUGCAUCGGAAACUGGGAAACUUGAGUGCAGGAGAGGACAGUGGAACUCCAUGUGUAGCGGUGAAAUGCGUAGAUAUAUGGAAGAACACCAGUGGCGAAGGCGGCUGUCUGGUCUGUAACUGACGCUGAGGCUCGAAAGUAUGGGUAGCAAACAGGAUUAGAUACCCUGGUAGUCCAUACCGUAAACGAUGAAUGCUAAGUGUUGGAGGGUUUCCGCCCUUCAGUGCUGCAGCUAACGCAUUAAGCAUUCCGCCUGGGGAGUACGGCCGCAAGGCUGAAACUCAAAGGAAUUGACGGGGGCCCGCACAAGCGGUGGAGCAUGUGGUUUAAUUCGAAGCUACGCGAAGAACCUUACCAGGUCUUGACAUACUAUGCAAAUCUAAGAGAUUAGACGUUCCCUUCGGGGACAUGGAUACAGGUGGUGCAUGGUUGUCGUCAGCUCGUGUCGUGAGAUGUUGGGUUAAGUCCCGCAACGAGCGCAACCCUUAUUAUCAGUUGCCAGCAUUAAGUUGGGCACUCUGGUGAGACUGCCGGUGACAAACCGGAGGAAGGUGGGGAUGACGUCAAAUCAUCAUGCCCCUUAUGACCUGGGCUACACACGUGCUACAAUGGAUGGUACAACGAGUUGCGAACUCGCGAGAGUAAGCUAAUCUCUUAAAGCCAUUCUCAGUUCGGAUUGUAGGCUGCAACUCGCCUACAUGAAGUCGGAAUCGCUAGUAAUCGCGGAUCAGCAUGCCGCGGUGAAUACGUUCCCGGGCCUUGUACACACCGCCCGUCACACCAUGAGAGUUUGUAACACCCAAAGUCGGUGGGGUAACCUUUUAGGAACCAGCCGCCUAAGGUGGGACAGAUGAUUAGGGUG
rnacentral:rRNA from 2 species